rnacentral:rRNA from 1 species
UACGUAGGGGGCGAGCGUUGUCCGGAAUUAUUGGGCGUAAAGAGCUCGUAGGCGGCUUGGCAAGUCGGAUGUGAAAACUCCAGGCUCAACCUGGAGCCGCCAUUCGAUACUGCUAUGGCUAGAGUCCGGUAGGGGAGUGUGGAAUUCCCGGUGUAGCGGUGAAAUGCGUAGAUAUCGUAAGGAAGACCAGUGGCGAAGGCGGGUCUCUGGACAGUUCCUGACGCUGAGGCACGAAGGCCAGGGGAGCAAACGGG